UGACGAUGAUGACGAUGAUGAUGAUGAUGAUGAUGAUGAUGAUGAUGAUGAUCGUCAUCAUCAUCAUUAUCAUCACUAUCAUCAUCAUUAUCAUCA
rnacentral:pre_miRNA from 1 species